AUUGAACGCUGGCGGCAUGCCUUACACAUGCAAGUCGAACGGCAGCACGGGUGCUUGCACCUGGUGGCGAGUGGCGAACGGGUGAGUAAUACAUCGGAACGUACCUUAUUGUGGGGGAUAACGCAGCGAAAGCUGCGCUAAUACCGCAUAAUCCCUAAGGGGGAAAGCGGGGGACCGUAAGGCCUCGCGCAAUUAGAGCGGCCGAUACCUGAUUAGCUAGUUGGUGAGGUAAAGGCUCACCAAGGCAACGAUCAGUAGCUGGUCUGAGAGGACGAUCAGCCACACUGGGACUGAGACACGGCCCAGACUCCUACGGGAGGCAGCAGUGGGGAAUUUUGGACAAUGGGGGCAACCCUGAUCCAGCAAUGCCGCGUGAGUGAAGAAGGCCUUCGGGUUGUAAAGCUCUUUUGUCAGGGAAGAAACAGCAGCUCUAACACAGUUUGCGAAUGACGGUACCUGAAGAAUAAGCACCGGCUAACUACGUGCCAGCCGCCGCGGUAA
rnacentral:rRNA from 1 species